rnacentral:rRNA from 1 species
AACAAACGCUGGCGGCGUGCCUAACACAUGCAAGUCGUACGAGAAAGUUGGCUUCGGCCGAUGAGUAAAGUGGCGCACGGGUGAGUAAUGCGUGGAUAAUCUGCCCUUUAGUUGGGAAUAACGUACCGAAAGGUGCGCUAAUACCUGAUAAUACUGCAUAACUACUGUUGUGUAGUCAAAGAAGGCCUCUGUUUACAAGCUUUUGCUGAAGGAUGAGUCCGCGUACCAUUAGCUGGUUGGUGGGGUAAUGGCCUACCAAGGCUACGAUGGUUAGCUGGUCUGAGAGGAUGAUCAGCCACACUGGAACUGAGACACGGUCCAGACUCCUACGGGAGGCAGCAGUGAGGAAUAUUGCGCAAUGGGGGCAACCCUGACGCAGCAACGCCGCGUGAGUGAGGAAGGUUUUCGGACCGUAAAGCUCUGUCGAGCGGGAAGAAAUGUAUCAUGGCUAAUAUCCAUGAUACUUGACGGUACCGCUAAAGG